AAUACCGAGUCAACUCUUUCCAUUAACAUUCAAACUAAUAGCACGACAUUAGGUGUGAUUAUUUUUGGCUAUUGUCUGCGUCCUGUGAUACGUUAGCGAGACGGAGACAACUAGUGUAUUGGACGCGUUCAACCGAUCCGAAUUGGAUUCUCUUAAUAUUUUGACUUCAUUCGAUGGUGUUAUGUCGUUCAGAUUGUAUUUUAACACGCCGUGAC